rnacentral:lncRNA from 10 species
GUGCACUCCACGACCAGCCGGAACUCCCACUCAGGUGCCCUUCUCUCUCUCGCAGAAGAGAGAGCUGUUUUCUUUUCUCUUUCUUUUGCCUAUUAAACCUCUGCUCCUAAACCCACUUCCUGUGUGUCUGCAUACUCGAUAUCCUUGGCAUGAGAUGGCGAACCUCAGGUGUUUACCCCAGAGAAUGAUGUUUCUUUGGAAUUGCUGAAACAUAUGAGACGGGGUCUCACUGUAUCAGCUCAGCUGGAGUACAGUGGUGAGAUCAGAGCUCACCGCAGCCUCCGGGCUCCUGGUCUCAAGCAAUCCGGACCUCAGCCUCCCAAGUAGUGGGGACUACAGAGAAUGUACAACUCCUCUGCCACAACGUGAGGGAGAGAAGUCUGCAGACGGCUGACUGGUGACGACUGAACAAGACGGAAAGGCAAGUCGCUAUGCCCGAAGCCUUUGAAGGGAGCCAGCAGGGUCCAUGGGAGGUUCAGGACACAUAUCUGCAGCCCUGCUUCUGGCCCCACCCUUGGGGAAGCCUUUUGCAGGUGAUCCUGGGCCUCUGCUGGGGAAGGCCCCAAGAGGUGAAGCAUCCUCUGCAGAGGAGAGAGCACAUCCGGAAGUAGAAGACAGACCACUGUCUGGGCUCCGUUUAACUGCUGUGAUUUGGGAUUGUAACUUACUCCCGUAAAGCCUCAGUUUCCCACAUGGAAAAUCAAAUCGAUCAUUGUUAUAACAUUUCACUUUUUUGUUAUGUGAUGUAAUUUACACAGUGCUUUCGUAUACGUUAUCCAAUUUAGCGAAAUAAUACAGAGCAAUGCAUUUUGAAAAGAAUAAAAUGCUUAACAUAUGUGAGGAAUUCUUUUUUCCUUUGAAAACUACUCCGGAUGGCUUGGCUAUUGUUUAGUUAAGAGAAUUAUACAAUUUUUGAGACAUGGUUCCUUAUCUUGUGUAGGCUGAAAGGCAAUUAAACAAUUAUUCAUGUCAGAAUCUGAGGUAAAUAAAAGGCUGCUUCAAAGAGUCCACUUACGGAGUGAAAAGCAGUUGAGUAGAAACAGAGAGUGGUCUGUAAUUUCCUUCUGGAAGGAAUAUCCACUCCAUAUGGCCUGAAGCAAGAAUUUCAAACUCCUCUGUGGGGAGAAAGAGACAGAAAUAAAAACUUUUAAGUUUUUUUACUCCGAUUUGUCCCAGCCAUUUUCUGAACAGCCUAUGGAAGCCAUCCGCUCCUCUAAACAAAAAUAAGCUAAGAGACAGAAAGAAUGAUUUGAUUUCCGUGUGUAGGGAUGGUUCAGUCAUAAAUCAGUGUAUUUUUUCCAAGAGGAAGGUGCCAGCAACAAAAGUUGGUCAUAAAAAGGACAUUAAACUUUAGUAGUCUCUUCACUGUUCCCUCCCACAUCCAGUUGCCAACAGCAGAGACAACUGUGAGACACAGUGAAAUGAAGUGACUGCUCCACUGCUGGGCAACAGGAGACCCGGAUGCCAGGCUCCCUGGCAGAAGAAAUAGAAAGUCAAUAGCAAACACAGAUGUCUUCCUCCCUACCACAUCACCUCCACUUUUCACCAUCGCCUGUGUGAUACAACCACCCCGCAAUGCCUUCCUCAGCCUUUUACUUCUGUUUCCAGUGAGUCAAGAAAAACUUCUCCAGCUUGCCCUGUGGAGAUGAAUGAGCCCAUAAUCCACUUACACGUGUGACCUUUACACAGCCAGGACCCCCAUAGAGCAGCCAAACAUGCAGUCUUGUAAACAAAAGGAAUUUCAAGAUAACUCUGAUCUUUCACUAAUUAUCCCAAAGCCCAAAGGGGAUCCAUAUACAUAGUCCGAAGCCUACUUUAAGGAGGCAUCCUCCCCUGUGUAUUCCCAGCCCAUCCCAUAGUU